rnacentral:rRNA from 1 species
AUGCGUUUAAUGUCGCCACCACAUCGAACCCUAUCCCCUUUCCACCAAAUCCCGCAGCCACCGCGAGCCCGCAGCUGCCCUCCUUCAGUCCUCCAUCCUCUCACGCCCCCUCCCGCACAGCCCCCUCCAUGCUUCCUCCUCAUCACCGUAGCCGCCGCAUUCCUCCCUCUUCCUCUUCCUCAUCACCACAGCCGCUCUAGUCGUGGCGAAUCUGACGCCUGCAGGCAGACGCAACAGGAGUUCGUGGAGCGGCGGAUGCAGACGGGGUCGUUGACGGAGCUGCAGGAGCAAGGAGCUCGAGUGCGCCAUGAGGAGUGGAAGGCCGAGUUCGUGCGACGACCAGAGCAACAGGAGCAAGGAGCCUCCUCUCUCUCCCUCUCAGUGGUUGAGGACUUCCUCAAGAAGAAAGAAGAAGGCCAAAUAGAAGAAGAAUUUGGCUCAAAGGUCUUGCGGAGGUGCCUCUGA